GAUGAACGCUGGCGGCGUGCCUAAUACAUGCAAGUCGAGCGAACAGACGAGGAGCUUGCUCCUCUGACGUUAGCGGCGGACGGGUGAGUAACACGUGGAUAACCUACCUAUAAGACUGGGAUAACUUCGGGAAACCGGAGCUAAUACCGGAUAAUAUAUUGAACCGCAUGGUUCAAUAGUGAAAGACGGUUUUGCUGUCACUUAUAGAUGGAUCCGCGCCGCAUUAGCUAGUUGGUAAGGUAACGGCUUACCAAGGCAACGAUGCGUAGCCGACCUGAGAGGGUGAUCGGCCACACUGGACCUGAGACCCGGUCCAGACUCCUACGGGAGGCAGCAGUAGGGAAUCUUCCGCAAUGGGCGAAAGCCUGACGGAGCAACGCCGCGUGAGUGAUGAAGGUCUUCGGUUCGUAAACCUCUGUUAUUAGGGAAGAACAAAUGUGUAAGUAACUAUGCCCGUCUGGACGGUACCUAAUCAGAAAGCCACGGCUAACUACGU
rnacentral:rRNA from 1 species